GGGACACGUGGUAUCCUGUCUGAAUAUGGGGGGACCAUCCUCCAAGGCUAAAUACUCCUGACUGACCGAUAGUGAACCAGUACCGUGAGGGAAAGGCGAAAAGAACCCCGGCGAGGGGAGUGAAAAAGAACCUGAAACCGUGUACGUACAAGCAGUGGGAGCACCUUCGGGUGUGACUGCGUACCUUUUGUAUAAUGGGUCAGCGACUUAUAUUCUGUAGCAAGGUUAACCGUAUAGGGGAGCCGCAGGGAAACCGAGUCUUAACUGGGCGUUAAGUUGCAGGGUAUAGACCCGAAACCCGGUGAUCUAGCCAUGGGCAGGUUGAAGGUUGGGUAACACUAACUGGAGGACCGAACCGACUAAUGUUGAAAAAUUAGCGGAUGACUUGUGGCUGGGGGUGAAAGGCCAAUCAAACCGGGAGAUAGCUGGUUCUCCCCGAAAGCUAUUUAGGUAGCGCCUCGUGAA
rnacentral:rRNA from 1 species